GACGAACGCUGGCGGUGUGCUUAACACAUGCAAGUCGAACGGUAAGGCCCUUUCGGGGGUACACGAGUGGCGAACGGGUGAGUAACACGUGAGUAACCUGCCCUCAUCUCUGGGAUAACAGUCGGAAACGGUUGCUAAUACUGGAUAUGAGCUUGCAAGGCAUCUUGUGGGUUGGAAAGAUUUUUUUUGGUUGGGGAUGGACUCGCGGCCUAUCAGCUUGUUGGUGAGGUAGUGGCUCACCAAGGCUUCGACGGGUAGCCGGCCUGAGAGGGCGACCGGCCACAUUGGGACUGAGAUACGGCCCAAACUCCUACGGGAGGCAGCAGUGGGGAAUAUUGCACAAUGGACGGAAGUCUGAUGCAGCAACGCCGCGUGCGGGAUGACGGCCUUCGGGUUGUAAACCGCUUUCAAUUGUGACGAAGCUUUUUUGUGACGGUAGCAGUAGAAGAAGCACCGGCUAACUACGU
rnacentral:rRNA from 1 species